CCCUUAGAUGUUCUGGGCCGCACGCGUGCUACACUGAGUAAUUCAAUGGGUAAGGGAACGCUAGAGCAUUACCUAAUCUUGAAAUUUGCUCGUGAUGGGGAUCGACGGUUGCAAUUUUCCGUCGUGAACGAGGAAUACCUUGUAGGCGCAUGUCAUCAUCAUGCGCCGAAUACGUCCCUGCCCUUUGUACACACCGCCCGUCGCUCCUACCGAUUGAGUGAUCCGGUGAGGCUCUGGGACCUGGACGGAAAGAGCGUUUCGCUUGUUCUGUUUGGGAACCUUGGUCGAACCUUAUCAUUUAGAGGAAGGAGAAGUCGUAACA
rnacentral:rRNA from 1 species